UAGGGAAUAUUGGUCAAUGGAUGCAAGUCUGAACCAGCCAUGCCGCGUGCAGGAAGACGGCCUUCUGGGUUGUAAACUGCUUUUGUCAGGGUAUAAAAUGAGCAUGCGUGCUUAAUUGAAGGUACCUGGCGAAUAAGCCACGGCUAACUACGUGCCAGCAGCCGCGGUAAUACGUAGGUGGCAAGAGUUGUCCGGAUUUAUUGGGUUUAAAGGGUGCGUAGGCGGCCCUAUAAGUCAGUGCUGAAAUAUCCCGGCUUAACCGGGAGGGUGGCAUUGAUACUGUAGGGCUUGAGUCGAGUUGAGGUUGGCGGAAUUGACGGUGUAGCGGUGAAAUGCUUAGAUAUCGUCAAGAACACCGAUAGUGAAGACAGCUUACUAGACUUCAACUGACGCUGAGGCACGAAAGUGUGGGGAUCAAA
rnacentral:rRNA from 1 species